CGAACGCUGGCGGCGUGCCUAAUACAUGCAAGUAGAACGCACAGGAUGCACCGUAGUUUACUACACCGUAUUCUGUGAGUUGCGAACGGGUGAGUAACGCGUAGGUAACCUGCCUGGUAGCGGGGGAUAACUAUUGGAAACGAUAGCUAAUACCGCAUAAGAACAUUUACUGCAUGGUAGAUGUUUAAAAGGUGCAAAAGCAUCACUACCAGAUGGACCUGCGUUGUAUUAGCUAGUUGGUGAGGUAACGGCUCACCAAGGCAACGAUACAUAGCCGACCUGAGAGGGUGAUCGGCCACACUGGGACUGAGACACGGCCCAGACUCCUACGGGAGGCAGCAGUAGGGAAUCUUCGGCAAUGGGGGGAACCCUGACCGAGCAACGCCGCGUGAGUGAAGAAGGUUUUCGGAUCGUAAAGCUCUGUUGUUAAGGAAGAACGUGUGUGAGAGUGGAAAGUUCACACAGUGACGGUACUUAACCAGAAAGGGACGGCUAACUACGUGCCAGCAGCCGCGGUAUACGUAGGUCCCGAGCGUUGUCCGGAUUUAUUGGGCGUAAAGCGAGCGCAGGCGGUUAGAUAAGUCUGAAGUGAAAGGCAGUGGCUCAACCAUUGUAGGCUUUGGAAACUGUUUAACUUGAGUGCAGAAGGGGAGAGUGGAAUUCCAUGUGUAGCGGUGAAAUGCGUAGAUAUAUGGAGGAACACCGGUGGCGAAAGCGGCUCUCUGGUCUGUAACUGACGCUGAGGCUCGAAAGCGUGGGGAGCGAACAGGAUUAGAUACCCUGGUAGUCCACGCCGUAAACGAUGAGUGCUAGGUGUUAGGUCCUUUCCGGGACUUAGUGCCGCAGCUAACGCAUUAAGCACUCCGCCUGGGGAGUACGA
rnacentral:rRNA from 1 species